rfam:Ictidomys tridecemlineatus contig010811, whole genome shotgun sequence.
GGGGAUAGAGCUCAGCUGGUAGAGUGCGUGCCUUGUGUGCACAAGGACCUGGGUUCAAUCCCCAGCAUCACAG